UAGGGAAUCUUCGGCAAUGGGGGGAACCCUGACCGAGCAACGCCGCGUGAGUGAAGAAGGUUGUCGGAUCGUAAAGCUCUGUUGUUAAGGAAGAACGAGUGUGAGAAUGGAAAGUUCAUGCUGUGACGGUACUUAACCAGAAAGGGACGGCUAACUACGUGCCAGCAGCCGCGGUAAUACGUAGGUCCCGAGCGUAGUCCGGAUUUAUUGGGCGUAAAGCGAGCGCAGGCGGUUAGAACAGUCUGAAGUGAAAGGCAGUGGCUCAACCAUUGUAGGCUUUGGAAACUGUUUAACUUGAGUGCAGAAGGAGAGAGUAGAAUUCCAUGUGUAGCGGUGAAAUGCGUAGAUAUAUGGAGGAACACCGGUGGCGAAAGCGGCUCUCUGGUCUGUAGCUGACGCGGAGGCUCGAAAGCGUGGGGAGCGAACAGG
rnacentral:rRNA from 1 species